CGUGUAGGCGGUCAGGUAAGUGGAAUGUGAAAUGCCCCGGCUCACCCGGGGACCUGCAUCCCAAGCUGCCUGGCUUGAGUAUGGGAGAGGAUGGAGGAAUUCCUGGUGUAGCGGUGAAACGCGUAGAUAUCAGGAGGAACACCGGUGGCGAAGGCGUCCAUCUGGCCCAAUACUGACGCUGAGGCGCGAAAGCUAGGGGAGCGAACGGGAUUAGAUACCCCGGUAGUCCUAGCCGUAAACGGUGAUCACUAGAUGUUGGGGGCAUCGACCCCUCCAGUGCCGCAGCUAACGCAUUAAGUGAUCCGCCUGGGGAGUACGGCCGCAAGGUUGAA
rnacentral:rRNA from 1 species